rnacentral:rRNA from 1 species
GACGAACCGUGCAAACGUUGUUCGGAAUCACUGGGCGUAAAGGGCGUGCAGGCGGUUUGUUAAGUUCAGGGUGAAAGCUCCCGGCUCAACUGGGAGAGGUCCUUGGAUACUGGCAGACUUGAGGAGGGUAGAGGAGAGUGGAAUUCCCGGUGUAGUGGUGAUAUGCGUAGAUAUCGGGAGGAACACCAGUGGCGAAGGCGGAUCUCUGGGCCGAUACUGACGCUGAGGAGCGAAAGCGUGGGGAGCGAACAGG